CUUACUUGGAAAUAUGUUCUAGGUUGCCUUUUCAUUUUGUUGAUGGUUUCCUUCACUGUGCACAAGCGUUUUAACUUGAUGUAGUCCUAGUUGUCUAUUUUUGCUUUUGUUGCUCUUUUGAGACCAAUCCAAAAAAAUGUUCAGACUGAUGUCCACGAGUUUGCUGCCUAUGUUUUCUUCUAGGAGUUUUAUGGUUUCUGGUUGUAGAUUUAGGUAUUUAAUCCAUUUUGAGCUUAUUUUUGUAUAUGGUACAGUAAGAAAGUGGUCCAGUUUCAUUCUUCUGCACAUUUACACGGUGCAAGCAUAGGUUAAGAAUUAACUUGAACCCCAGGUCACAGGACUCUGGUUCCUGAAACCUGCACCAUCCAACAGAAAUAUGAAAGCUGCCAAGUGGGAGCCACACAGGUAAUUUAAAAUUUUCUAACAGCUGCAGCAAAAAAAAAAAAAAAAAAGGUAAAAUUAACAUAAUUAUGUCUUAUUUAAUCCCCUGGAUCUCCAAUAUUAUCAUUUCAAUAUGUAAUCAGGUUAAAAAUCACUCAUGGGAUAGUUUACAUUUCCUUUUUGGCACUAAGUUUUCUAAAUACAGGGUGUAUUUUACUUUCAGCGCAUCUGCAUCUGGGUUAGCCACGUUUCAGGCACUCAGUGGCCACAUGUGGAUAGUGGUUACCUUACAGACAGCUCUUUAGCAAGCCGUAGCCCUGAGACACGGGGAAAAAUUCUGGGUGGGGAAAUUCAGGUAUUUAGGAGGCUCUCGUGGCCCUUUAGUCAUGCAGCACCUGGAAUUCAGGGAAAAAACGGAGAAAAGAGAGCAGCUGCAAAUACCGGCUUCCCAAGCAGCGCCGGGCUAUUUUGGAAGUCGCUCUCCCUCCCUCUCCAAGCGGGUAAGACCUCCGCGCCGGGCGGGGCCCGAGCCCUGGGCUGCCACGUGUCAGCUCGAGCGUGGGCUUCCCUCCGGGCCACGCCGGCCGCGCUCCGGGCCCGGGGUACAGCGUCGCGACGCGCGCUCGCCCGCCUUCCGACGGGAGACGCGAGCCAGUGUCACAGCGCCGCCUGUCUGCCCCGCGGGGUAACUGCAGACGCGGUCCCGCCUCCUUCCGCCCGCGUUACGCAGCGCGCCCCGCCCGCCCCGCUUCCCGCCGGCCUUCCCCGCCAGGGUUUUCUCUUCCGGGUCACUUCUAAAGCACAUUAAGGACGUCCAUCAUUUGUAUUUCAAGAGAAGUAACUUUGAAUUUUGCCAGUAGUGACGUUUUCGGAAACCGCUUUACUGUUUUGGAUUCUCUAUUCCGUUUUUAAAUGGAAUAUUCACAAAAAAGAAGCCAGCAAGAGGCCCCAGCGAGGAUCGAACUCGCGACCCCUGGUUUACAAGACCAGUGCUCUAACCACUGAGCUAUGGAGCCCUCUAGUUACCUGUAUUUACUGAAGGAAUGAAGUUAUGGCCACUGCGUGAUUCAUUACUGCAGGAGGAAGAGAAUGAAGAUCAUGCGCUCCCAGUGGACCGGCGCGUCUCUCCCUUACCUCCUUCAAGUGUCUCCUCAACAAGACCCUUCCUGACCAUCUAUUUCAAGCUUCAUUAUCCUCUUGAUCCUGUCCCUUUUAUCCCACACUACUUAACCUUUUUUCCUACUAGAUAAUAUGCUUAUCAUAUGUAUUAUUCAUUUUGGUCUCUCCCUGUUGGAAUGUCAGCUCUUGAGGCCAGGGAGUUUUCUUUUAUUCCCUGGUGUAUGUGUGCAGCACAUAGUUGGUGCUUAAUACAUGCUGAAUGAUUAACAUCUCUGGUGAUGUUCAUUUUGUAAGCCAGGAGAAAUCAGGGAAGUGCUUCGGGAGGCAUCUUAUCCUUCUCCCUUACUUCCACGGCUUCUCCAUCCAAGGUGGAAUUCGUAACACCCUUUAGUUUGCUCGUCCUAUCUGGUUUUCUUAUUGUCCUGCUUCCCCUGCACUUUGCUCCGAGAUUUACUGUCCUAAUUCCUGGCCGUCCCCCUUACUGGGCUCCAGGGUCUUCUCAUUGUACUCAGGAGAAAGCCAGACUCCUCAGUCGGUUCCCUUUGUACAGACUUUUCCUCCCCCUCAGGCUAACCCAGCGAGCACCUUCAUUUCUCAUUUUACCUGAUUUCUUCUGCCUGUAACAGCUGAGCUUGAUUUUAAUGUCUCAUGGCAACUUGACAAGAGCAUCGAGCUCUGGUUUAUUUGCCUCUCUGAGGUGAUUUGGAAGAGUGUAUUCGUAUUCUAGGGCUGCCCUAACGAAGUACCAUCAGCUGGGUGGCUUGAACAAUAGAAAUGGAUCGUCUCACCGUUCUGGGGGCUACAAGUCCGAGUGCACAGUGGCGGCCGAGCUGUUUCCUUGGGAGGCCUCCGAGGGAUGGACCGUCCCAGGCUUCUCUCCUUGGUUUGUAGAUGGCUGUCUUCUCUGUGUCUCUUCACAGCGUCCUCCCUCUGUGCAUGUCCCUUUCUGUUUUGGAUUCCCCUUUUUAUAAGGAUACCAGUUAUACUGGAUUAGUACCCACCCCAGUGAUCCCACUUUAAAUUUGAUUUUACCUCUGUAAAGACUCUGUCUCUAAAUAGGUCACAUUCUGAGCUACUGGGGUUUAGGGUUUCCACAUAAGAAUUUUGAGGGGACACAGUUCAAUCUGUAACAAGGAGGCCAGGGUUCAGUUAAGGCUGAAGCAAGGCUCCUCUCAUUCCCUUGAUCUCCCGCGCAGACACUCACCAGCGAUUCUCACCUGUCCCCCAGCCCCUCCCGGCACCUCCCAGCUGGGGAAGGGCUGUGAUAGAAAAAUAGAACCUCUCUCCCUCUCAGUUCUAACUUCUGAACUGUAGGGUAAAGGACAUGAAGCUGAAAGGACAAGAUGAAAGAAAGAUAAGAAGGGUGGACAUCUUGUAAAGAUGCUGCUUUGCUCCUAAGUGGCACGGCAUUAGGGGAAAAAGUCUGGGAGGGCUUUGCACUGAAUUUUGUGUUCCUUCCUCCUAACCCUUAUCCCCUCCAUCAAGCCCUAGCCUAAGCCCAUGCACCACCUGUAAAGUGGAGGUGAUUAUUGUGGUUCUAUCUCAGGGCAGUUUGGGGGAGCCAGCACAAUAACAAACUUGAAAGUGCCGGAAACACUUGUUCAUAAGCUGAGCAUUUACUUCUAGUUUCUGGGUGCCCCUAAGCAGAAAGUCUCGGGGAGAGGCGGGAAGGACAGAUGACAUCCUAGAGUCCGGUUUGGGGGGAGGGCAAGGAGGAGAUGGAAGACAGAAGCCCCAACUGCAUCCCUUGACCGCUCUCUUUGCUUGAGGGCAACAAGGUUCCUUUGCCCAGCCACCAGCCUCACCCUCUCCGGACUCCCCAGCUGUGCUGCGUGGAGGCCCCCGCAGCCCCUAGGGUUGAAGAGAAGCAGCUUGUAGCCCAGUCUGCUCUCCGCCCACGGGCGGCAGGGCGUCUCCCGCUCCGUCCUUGGAGCCGCUGUCCCCCGUCCUCUGGCCUGCCAACGUCACACUCCAGGUCAGAGGUGAGGCUGUGAGGUCAGGAGGGACACUCAAGGCACACUGGGUCCGCGCUUCCUGAUGACGUUCAGGAAGCCUCGGCCCGGCGAGGGGAGAGGUCUUGCAUCAUCAUGCUAUGAACUGGCAGCAGAAGCCACAUAUAAGUUGUGGGGUUUGGGACUUUCCCAUGGGUUUUGUUUUAUAUUCUGAAAGUUGGUCAAAGACAGCUAAAAAAUUGAAACAAAAGACCAAACAACAAGAAAGUGCAAAUAAACAAAACUUAGCCGACCAACCAACCAAAACUGGAAGGGAAAGGGGCUUUCUGAGUUUGUCCAGGAACAAGUUCACAAAACACUGUCACAUGGACCAUCUUGUCGUCUUCUCUCAAUCCUCUCAGAGGCAGACAUCAUUUAUCCACAUUUUGCUGGUAAGCAAAGUGGCCCAGAGAGGGUAAGAAACUUGCCUGAGGUCUCACAGCUCGGAGGUGGCAGGACUCAGACCGCGAAGCAGCUCCUUGAAAUCACAGUCUGCUUUUGCUGCUGGGCCAUUCUGUGUUGAACGUGUAUAUAGUAACGCAGUAGGGGCCCGCUAAGUGCUGUAUAAGGCUGGUUAAUCUUCAGACUAAAUGCCUGGGUACCAUCCAGCAUUAUUCAUCCUUUGAAUGCCUGGUCUCUAGACUCUCUGGAGAAGUAAGCCAACCGAUUAACACUCAGCAUCCCUUGUCACGCCCUGCACGGUGGUGAUGGGGCUCCGUGUGUCCUGAUGUGGGGCCUGCAGCCUUGGGCCAUGAGCUACCCUGGCGCUACCCUGGCCAGCAGAGGCAAGAACACAGGACCAUCAUCCAUCAUGUCGCUUUACUGCCUCUCCACAUUCCGUGGACCUGUGUCCACAGCUAACGAGUGUGGAAUGAAUACAGCGCUUCCACGGAAAUCAAGCCACCACUGGAAAAAGGGGAAAAUAGAUUCACAAGUUAUGGGUACAUGAUAAUGAUGAUGAUACAUUUUGCUACAUCUUUUACUCCAGACCAGAGUAAGAACCUGGCAUUAUAUUGUGCACUGAUGUCCACAGCACCUUAAAAACAAGUAUGUAAAAAAGAAACCCUGAGCUUGCGGCCAGCAACAUCUCAGUUCUUGUCCAGUGUCUUCAGCUGUAACUGUAUCCACCGGUCCCCUUGCCCCUCUACAUUGUCCUGCUUUCCCCAUUUGUAAAAUGGACCAUCCUCCCCUGCAGGAUGAACCAGGCUGCUGAUGUGAAGUGCCUGCACGAAGCAUGGCAUAGGCGACAUGAUAACAAACAUCUCUGGCUACUGGGUUAUAUGCAAGUGUCAGUUUGGAAGGUAUCAUUAGCUGGUAUUUCAUACUAUUGUAUGAAACUUUUUAAAAUGUAUUUUUCCUUUGUAUGUCCCAAAUUAUUACUUGUUCCUGUCUUUUGGACAUUAAGGAAGGGGGCUACGGCUCAGGUCAGAUCGCUGAUAAAGGGAGGCCGAGUGGCCAUGGCUUCUGACUUCGGAAUACCUGCCCUCUGCUUGGUACUCUUCCCAAGGGUAGAUCUGGGGCUUUACUCCAUUUCAGGUAGGUAGUAUUUUGGCCCGCUGCUUGGGUAUUGUAUUUCUGUGCUCUCUGUUGUCCUGCAGUAUCGGGCAGGUGUAUCUUCUACUUUUUCUUUAGUGUGACGGCAGCUCCCUGAUGGGGGUCCGUGUCCUGUACUGGACAGAAACGCAGAGCCAGGAUGCUUCUUGCA